UACGACGGGUACGGGUUGUGAGAGCAAGAGCCCGGAGAUGGAUUCUGAGACACGAAUCCAGGCCCUACGGGGUGCAGCAGGCGCGAAAACUUUACAAUGCUGGCAACAGCGAUAAGGGAACCUCGAGUGCCAGGUUACAAAUCUGGCUGUCGUGAUGCCUAAAAAGCAUUGCAUAGCAAGGGCCGGGCAAGACCGGUGCCAGCCGCCGCGGUAACACCGGCGGCUCGAGUGGUAACCGUUAUUAUUGGGUCUAAAGGGUCUGUAGCCGGCCGGAUAAGUCUCUUGGGAAAUCUGGCAGCUCAACUGUCAGGCUUUCAGGAGAUACUGUCUGGCUCGAGGCCGGGAGAGGUGAGAGGUACUUCAGGGGUAGGGGUGAAAUCUUGUAAUCCUUGAAGGACCACCAGUGGCGAAGGCGUCUCACCAGAACGGACCUGACGGCAAGGGACGAAAGCUAGGGGCACGAACCGGAUUAGAUACCCGGGUAGUCCUAGCCGUAAACGAUACUCGCUAGGUGUCGGCCACGGUGCGACCGUUGUCGGUGCCGUAGGGAAGCCGUGAAGCGAGC
rnacentral:rRNA from 1 species